rnacentral:misc_RNA from 1 species
AGAAUUUUGAGGUAAAAAAAAUUGAGAGCUUUCAAUUGUAGACUUCCAAGUCUAAAAUUUGACCAGUGGUGAAGUUUGUAACUUUUGAGUGAUGGGUUCAAAGCCAUGGCUGCAUCCGGCUCCAACAUAUCGUUUAUUGGAGACGUUUUGGGAUACUGAUGAUGAUGCCCCAGGUCCACGCUGUGGUCAUACUCUUACUGCUGUAGCUGCUACCAAGACUCAUGGUCCGCGGCUGAUUUUGUUUGGUGGAGCUACUGCUAUUGAGGGAGGCAAUGGGGCUGCACCUGGCAUAAGGUUGGCUGGUGUAACCAAUUGUAUUCACUCAUAUGAUGUUCUUACCAGAAAAUGGACCAGACUUAGACCUGCCGGUGAGCCACCUUCACCAAGAGCUGCACAUGCUGCUGCGGCUGUUGGAACAAUGGUUGUAUUUCAGGGUGGGAUAGGACCGGCUGGGCAUUCAACUGAUGAUCUUUAUGUGCUUGACAUGACAAAUGACAAGUUCAAGUGGCACAGAGUUGUGGUUCAAGGUCAGGGUCCAGGACCGCGGUAUGGCCACGUAAUGGACUUGGUUGCACAAAGA